rnacentral:sRNA from 1 species
GCCAGGUGUGGUGGCUCACACCUGUAAUCCCAGCACUUUGGAGGCUGACGUGGGAGGAUCACUUGAGUUCAGGAGUUCAAGACCAGCCUGGGCAACAUAGUGAGACCCCAUCUCUACAAAAAACAAAAAAUUAGCCGGGCAUGGUGGCAUAUGCCUGUAAUCCUAGCUACUUGGAAGACUGAGGUAGGAGGAUCACUGGAACCUGGGAGGUUGAGAUUGCAGUGAGCAUGAUUUUGCCCACUGCACUCCAGCCUGAGUGACAAAGUGAGACCCUAUCUCU